rnacentral:rRNA from 1 species
CGCGUAGGUGGUAGUGUAAGUCUGAGGUGGAAUCCCAGGGCUUAACCCUGGAACUGCCUUGGAAACUGCAUUACUUGAGUCAGUGAGGGGAGGGUAGAAUUCCUGGUGUAGCGGUGAAAUGCGUAGAUAUCAGGAGGAAGGCCUGUGGCGAAGGCGGCCCUCUGGUGCUGGACUGACACUGAGGCGCGAAAGCGUGGGGAGCAAACAGGAUUAGAUACCCUGGUAGUCCACGCCCUAAACGGUGGGCACUAGGUGUAGGGCUCGUAAGGGUUCUGUGCCGAAGGGAAACCAUUAAGUGCCCCGCCUGGGGAGUACGGCCGCAAGGUUGAG